UGUGUCUGGUGUCAGUCAUCCCCGUCCGGCCGCCCGACUCUGUACAAUGGAGAAUGGAUGUUAGUCAUCUUUGCGUGGACAACUGUAGCUGUUUGCCUGGAUUGCUCGACUAGACAACAGUUUGCUGUUAUAAGAAGUGGUCACUUCAAUCAAGCAGAGAAUUCAGUUGAGCAGUAGUAGAGAAUCCAAACAGUAGCAGUAGCACAUAUUUCAGUCCAUUUCAAGCAGCUGCAACACAGAUUUUGGUUUCAUAAUACAAGCACACAGACUAUUUCAAGGACUACCAGGUGGACCUGUCCGACUGUGGGCCGAUGGUGCUGGACGCGCUGCUCAAGAUCAAGAACGAGUAGGACCCGUCUCUCACCUUCCGCUGCAGCUGCCGCGAGGGCAUCUGCGGGAGCUGCGCCAUGAACAUCGACGGCGACAACGGCCUCGCCUGCCUCACCAAGAUAGAGAUAGCAGCAGUGAUGCUUCACAGUUUCUCUCCCUCCCUCCCAAGAACAUAGGGCAGGGAACCCAAAUCCGCCCGGAUUCC
rnacentral:lncRNA from 1 species